GGGCGCGUCAGCGGGGUGGCCGCCGUCGCGGACGGCGAGUUCGCCGAGGAGGAGCGGACGCGGCGGGCCGGGGUGUUCGGCGCGCUGCGCGCCCU
rnacentral:tRNA from 1 species